rnacentral:rRNA from 1 species
GAUAGCUAUAAGAGGUCCAGCCUGCCCAGUGAUAAAUUCAACGGCCGCGGUAUCCUAACCGUGCGAAGGUAGCAUAAUCACUUGUUCUUUAAAUAGGGACUCGUAUCAACGGCAUCACGAGGGUUACACUGUCUCCUCUUUCCAAUCAGUGAAACUGAUCUUCCCGUGAAGAAGCGGGAAUGAACUAAUAAGACGAGAAGACCCCAUGGAGCUUUAAACCUCACAGCAACUCUAACAUAUAUUUCCCCAUAACCCGCAGAGCAAUGCUAGUCGGUUUUAGGUUGGGGUGACCGCGGAGCAAAAACUACCCUCCACGACGAACAGAACUAAAUCUUUAUCCAAGAGCAACCACUCUAAGAACUAGCACACUAACGUAUCAUGACCCGAUAAUCGAUCAACGGACCAAGUUACCCUGGGGAUAACAGCGCAAUCUGCUUCAAGAGCCCAUAUCGACAAGCAGGCUUACGACCUCGAUGUUGGAUCAGGGUACCCCAGUGGUGCAGCCGCUACUAACGGUUCGUUUGUUCAACGAUUAAAACCCUACGUGAUCUGAGU